CAUUAGCCGCUGCAAAAGUAUCAGAAUUGUUCACUUCUCUCAUUGACUUCUCAAACCACGGCUUGGUCUGCUUCACAGGCGUUCUCUGAAGUCUCGCGUUGUUACGUCUCUGGGUUUAGAAACUGGUAGUGGGGAGAAGGCAGUUCCGCGCAGGCGCUCAUCAUUCUUCAGAAUAAAAGAUACGUCAGAAUUGUGCAGUCGAGAUGACAAUUUCUGCGUCGGUUUCAAGUCUAUUACUACUGAUUAAGUCUGAGGCCGGUGAUAUCAACAGUGAGGACAAACCCAGCCUGCCUCUCUCCAUCCAAACUGAGUCCAAACUUACAGUCACUGUGUCCUGAUUGUGACAGUGGAGCCCAGUUUGCACUGCAGGGUCCAGAGAUGGCAUCAGUGAAGCUGGAAGACUGCAGUCAAACACUGGAGUUGAAUGUUAACAUUAAAGAUGAAGAAGAGGAGGAGGAGAUUGGGACAUCUGUUUCUCAUGGUAUGAGGCCGGUAACAUCAACAGUGACGACAGACCCAGCCUUCCUCUCUCCUUCCACACUGAGUCCAAACCUACAGUCACUGGGUCCUGAUUGUGACAGUGGAGC